rnacentral:rRNA from 1 species
GACGAACGCUGGCGGCGUGCUUAACACAUGCAAGUCGAACGGAAAGGCCCUGCUUUUGUGGGGUGCUCGAGUGGCGAACGGGUGUGUAACACGUGAGUAACCUGCCCGUGACUUUGGGAUAACUUCAGGAAACUGGGUCUAAUACCGGAUAGGUGCUCCUGCUGCAUGGUGGGGGGUGGAAAGUUUCGGCGGUUGGGGAUGGACUCGCGGCUUAUCAGCUUGUUGGUGGGGUAGUGGCUUACCAAGGCUUUGACGGGUAGCCGGCCUGAGAGGGUGACCGGCCACAUUGGGACUGGGAUAGGGCCCAGACUCCUACGGGAGGCAGCAGUGGGGAAUAUUGCACAAUGGGCGGAAGCCUGAUGCAGCAACGCGGCGUGGGGGAUGACGGCCUUGGGGUUGUAAACCGCUUUCGCCUGUGACGAAGCGUGAGUGACGGUAAUGGGUAAAGAAGCACCGGCUAACUACGUG